UACGUAGGGUGCAAGCGUUGUCCGGAAUUAUUGGGCGUAAAGAGCUCGUAGGCGGUUUGUCGCGUCUGCUGUGAAAUCCCAGGGCUUAACCCUGGGCCUGCAGUGGGUACGGGCAAACUAGAGUGCGGUAGGGGAGAUCGGAAUUCCUGGUGUAGCGGUGAAAUGCGCAGAUAUCAGGAGGAACACCGGUGGCGAAGGCGGAUCUCUGAGCCGUAACUGACGCUGAGGAGCGAAAGCAUGGGUAGCGAACAGG
rnacentral:rRNA from 1 species